CAAUAAUUAAGCUGACACUCUUGGUCUGCUCAGUUUUCGGAGAUCACUGGACAUUUUGAAGUGUGAGCUCUCUGUGGAAGGCAAGCAUACGGAACUCCGUCUGGUAUUUCUUCCUGGAAACAAACCUACUCUCAGAAAACCCAUUGAAGUCCCUGUUUUACAACUAACAUAAUGGGCGUGUGGAAAUGCCUCUCCAUCCACCAGGGGGCAGAAACGAACCCUUUGAUUGGCCAGAGAUCUUUGGACUUCAACUUUGAUUUGGAAUAGUUGUAAUUUGCAUAGCCUUUUCACUCUCAGACAUCACUCUUUCUGUCACUAGGAACAUAACCAUAUAGACUUUUCAAAGAAACCUCUUAAUUCUGUGUGAAACUCUAAACUUCACUCUACCAAUAAACUUCCCCACAUUCACACUAGAGAGAUGUGAUGGGAAUGCUGGGUCUUACAUAUGGUGGUCUUCAUAUUUUCGUGGAUUUGUCUUUUGAGGCAUGGAGUGCCUGACCUUUGCGUAUGCAAGAUUCGCUAGCAUGUAAACUCUGUCACUGUCUCCCAAGAACACAGAAACAGGGCUAUUAAUAAUUUUAAUGCUUACUGUUUUGUGUAGCUUUUUUUGCAGAAACUGUCUAUUAAAAAGUCAAAUUU
rnacentral:lncRNA from 1 species